rnacentral:rRNA from 1 species
UACGGGGGGGGCAAGCGUUGCUCGGAAUCACUGGGCGUAAAGCGCACGUAGGCGGCUUUCUAAGUCAGGGGUGAAAUCCUGGAGCUCAACUCCAGAACUGCCUUUGAUACUGAGGAUCUUGAGUUCGGGAGAGGUGAGUGGAACUGCGAGUGUAGAGGUGAAAUUCGUAGAUAUUCGCAAGAACACCAGUGGCGAAGGCGGCUCACUGGCCCGAUACUGACGCUGAGGCACGAAAGCGUGGGGAGCAAACAGG